CCUACGGGCGGCAGCAGUGGGGAAUAUUGCACAAUGGGCGCAAGCCUGGUGCAGCCAUGCCGCGUGUGUGAAGAAGGCCUUCGGGUUGUAAAGCACUUUCAGCGGGGAGGAAGGCGGUGAGGUUAAUAACCUCAUCGAUUGACGUUACCCGCAGAAGAAGCACCGGCUAACUCCGUGCCAGCAGCCGCGGUAAUACGGAGGGUGCAAGCGUUAAUCGGAAUUACUGGGCGUAAGGCGCACGCAGGCGGUCUGUCAAGUCGGAUGUGAAAUCCCCGGGCUCAACCUGGGAACUGCAUUCGAAACUGGCAGGCUAGAGUCUUGUAGAGGGGGGUAGAAUUCCAGGUGUAGCGGUGAAAUGCGUAGAGAUCUGGAGGAAUACCGGUGGCGAAGGCGGCCCCCUGGACAAAGACUGACGCUCAGGUGCGAAAGCGUGGGGAGCAAACAGGAUUAGAUACCCCUGUAGUC
rnacentral:rRNA from 1 species